rnacentral:rRNA from 1 species
UAAGGGCGCACGGUGGAUGCCUUGGCACUAGAAGCCGAUGAAGGACGUUACUAACGACGAUAUGCUUUGGGGAGCUGUAAGUAAGCUUUGAUCCAGAGAUUUCCGAAUGGGGAAACCCAGCAUGAGUUAUGUCAUGUUAUCGAUAUGUGAAUACAUAGCAUAUCAGAAGGCACACCCGGAGAACUGAAACAUCUUAGUACCCGGAGGAAGAGAAAGAAAAUUCGAUUCCCUUAGUAGCGGCGAGCGAAACGGGAAGAGCCCAAACCAACAAGCUUGCUUGUUGGGGUUGUAGGACACUCUAUACGGAGUUACAAAGGACGACAUUAGACGAAUCAUCUGGAAAGAUGAAUCAAAGAAGGUAAUAAUCCUGUAGUCGAAAAUGUUGUCUCUCUUGAGUGGAUCCUGAGUACGACGGAGCACGUGAAAUUCCGUCGGAAUCUGGGAGGACCAUCUCCUAAGGCUAAAUACUCUCUAGUGACCGAUAGUGAACCAGUACCGUGAGGGAAAGGUGAAAAGCACCCCGGAAGGGGAGUGAAAUAGAACCUGAAACCGUGUGCUUACAAGUAGUCAGAGCCCGUUAAUGGGUGAUGGCGUGCCUUUUGUAGAAUGAACCGGCGAGUUACGAUUUGAUGCAAGGUUAAGCAGUAAAUGUGGAGCCGUAGCGAAAGCGAGUCUGAAUAGGGCGUUUAGUAUUUGGUCGUAGACCCGAAACCAGGUGAUCUACCCUUGGUCAGGUUGAAGUUCAGGUAACACUGAAUGGAGGACCGAACCGACUUACGUUGAAAAGUGAGCGGAUGAACUGAGGGUAGCGGAGAAAUUCCAAUCGAACCUGGAGAUAGCUGGUUCUCUCCGAAAUAGCUUUAGGGCUAGCCUCAAGUGAUGAUUAUUGGAGGUAGAGCACUGUUUGGACGAGGGGCCCCUCUCGGGUUACCGAAUUCAGACAAACUCCGAAUGCCAAUUAAUUUAACUUGGGAGUCAGAACAUGGGUGAUAAGGUCCGUGUUCGAAAGGGAAACAGCCCAGACCACCAGCUAAGGUCCCAAAAUAUAUGUUAAGUGGAAAAGGAUGUGGCGUUGCCCAGACAACUA